rnacentral:rRNA from 1 species
GAUGAACGCUGGCGGCGUGCCUAAUACAUGCAAGUCGAGCGAACAGACGAGGAGCUUGCUCCUUCGACGUUAGCGGCGGACGGGUGAGUAACGCGUAGGUAACCUACCUAUAAGACUGGGAUAACUUCGGGAAACCGGAGCUAAUACCGGAUAAUAUUUCGAACCGCAUGGUUCGAUAGUGAAAGAUGGCUUUGCUAUCACUUAUAGAUGGACCUGCGCCGUAUUAGCUAGUUGGUAAGGUAACGGCUUACCAAGGCAACGAUACGUAGCCGACCUGAGAGGGUGAUCGGCCACACUGGAACUGAGACACGGUCCAGACUCCUACGGGAGGCAGCAGUAGGGAAUCUUCCGCAAUGGGCGAAAGCCUGACGGAGCAACGCCGCGUGAGUGAUGAAGGUCUUCGGAUCGUAAAACUCUGUUAUUAGGGAAGAACAAACGCGUAAGUAACUGUGCACGUCUUGACGGUACCUAAUCAGAAAGCCACGGCUAACUACGUG